UUUCACUCACUUGCUACCAUUAGAUAUUUGUCCUGGCAUCCUAGUCAGGAAGACGUUAGCUAGGCCUAAUUGCUCAGCCUGUAUUUAAUGGACAGCCUGUGCUAUCAGAUAGCUCUAGAAAGAAAACAACAGAAGGCUUAACAUGCAACUCUAGGAAUGCCAGGUAUGUAGUCAUAAAAUCGAAUAAUUUCAGAGCAAGGAGAGCCUCAGAUGAGCCGCUAAUCAUCUCCAUGGCCUGAAACAAAGGAACCAUGUUAGGACACAACAAGAAAAUGGUCCAUCAAGCCAGGGAAAUAGGUCUCACCAGACACCAACCCUGUUGGCUCUUCCAUCUUGGACUUCCAGCCUCCAGAACGCGAAGAGAUCUGAAGAGUCCGUUCCUCUGAACAUCAGUUUUUCAUCUAUAAAAAGAGAAUGAAAGUACAUGGUCUGGCCACCUCCCAGGAUUGUUCUAAGGAUCAAACGAGAUCAUAAUCUAUGUGAAAGUACUGUUGGUGCCGGUGAUGUUAUUUAACACUCAGCUGGACUAUUUUGUUGGUAAGUGCAGUAACAGUCUUAAUACAUUGGGGUAAUUUGGAGAAUUAUGUCAAGUUAGUAAUGGUUGAAUACGAACUCAAAACACCUAACUGCAUUUCUAAUAAGACUAGAAUUGGGAUUCUUUAAAAACCAGAUCUUUGUGGUGGUGAAUGGACACAAUCAUGUAGCCGGAGAAAUGAACCCAGUCAGAUUUUCUUUCCAUAAAGAGAGGAUGGGAAAAUAGCCCCUAAGAAGAUAAGUGGGCCCAAAGUUUCCUGGAUCUUUGUGCAAUUCAGGGAUAGGCAUAUUUCAUAUUCCCAGUAAGCUGGAGGGGGCAUGAUUUGAAAGCAAGUUGAGGGAGGUGGACAGGAAUGCCAUCUUGAGAGAGAUGUUUUGCAAUCAUGUGUGUUUUGACUAUACUAUUGUUGAGAAUCCACAUUGGUCCUUGGGAAGGGUGUGUGUGUGUGUGUGUGUGUGUGUGUGUGUGUGUGUGUGUGUUUGGAUCUGUAUAUAGUGUUUGGAGGCAGAAGGAGGUCCCAACAAUUAGUAGCUGGCCAGUCAGCGGGAGGAAAGACUCAAGGCUACAACUCAUUUCCAACAAUACUUCCCUUCAGGUGCCCAGGGUUCAUCAAGGACUUCACCAUGAGGCUUAGAGUAUUCAGACUCAGCCAACCCUACAACCCCACUCUUACCCAGACUGUACCAAAAACACAAUAGCAAAGGACAACUGUGGAUUGACCACAGCAGCAACACUUCAGGCCAAUUUAUCUCAAUAAGCCAGACUUAGGAAAUGACUCAGUUGGAGAGGACAGAUCAAUUCCAUGGGUAGAAAGAGGUUUUCUGAAAGUCUAACAGAGAGCACACAGCAGAGGAAGAAGGUACUCACACAGAGGCCCUGACCUGGGACAAAGGAUUGAUGUUAGGAAAUAGGGAUGCCCACAAGAGAUCAACAGCAUGUAAAGAGUUUGAACUCCCUGGGGGACUUUUCCUUAGGACAGGAACAUUAAAAUUAGCACACAAUUUCAAGAAUUUUCUUCUUAGUUUCCCUCAGUCCUGCACUGCAGUCUGAUGCUCAGAUAGAGCUUUGAAUGGUCAGGCUUCUAUGAAAUAAAGCAGAAGACAGGGAUAGGAUACAUGGCCUGCCCACUUUCACCCUUCAGCUGCCAUUGCAAGAACACAGCAGCAUCCUCGCUAGGGCUCUGGAUCCUGUUGCUCAGGCAGGGACCAGCAUGACUGGAAUCAGCAGAAGAAUACAGUUACUAGUAGACAAUUCCAGAGCAGAUAAGGGACAGCCUAGCCCAAUUUCACCCUAUCUUCUUUCCCCAAAACCUUAACGGAGAUGAUCCUUUCAGGCAGAGAGAAAACUAAAACUUGGUUUUCAAGUUAUUUGGAAAAUAUUUAAGAAGUUUAACACCUUUGGUGUUAAAUUCUUCAGUUUCUUCAUGAAAGGUUAUCUACACAGUCAUAGGGUAAAAGGACUGUGUGAACUGCAACUCAGUUAGACUCCAAGCCUGAGUCCUGAGACAGGUGCAUCUCUCCCUUGCUAAUGCACAUGCAUGCAUGCACACAUACAUCUCACACACACAUGUACACACAAACACACACCAGACAGCAGAUCCAGGAUCUAUAUUUUCUGUCUUUAGCUUUAUGCCUGGAGAGCUCAACUGAGGGACUCAUUGCAAGGAUCCUCACCUUUUGCGAGGUCAAAUGCUCAGUUUAUCAGGCUGUGUGAUUUAAUAACUAAACUCCCUGAACUGGGUUUUCUGGAAGCAGUUGGUAUUUAGCUUGGGAACUGGGUUAGGAUUACACCUAUGUAUUGGGUAGGUGUUAUUGGUAGGUAAGUUGCUAGCAUCCAUAUCCAUGACAGGCAUACGAUUAUAUUUGUUGACAAUGUUGUUAAUGCUGGAGACCUUGAUCACAAUAGUUCUGAUCUUGAGUUUAACUGCAAGAUAUAUACAUAGGAUAAGCCAAAAUCCCACCAGCAUCACCAGGCAGCCAGAAUAUGGGUUACUGGGGAAGCCUCCAUGCAUCAAUUCUUAGGACUACACAGACAAACUAAUUUGAAAUUUGGCUUUAAUAUUUGGAAACUGAAUACUUUCAAAAUAAUUUAUUGCUUAACUAAAUUAAGCCAAAUGGUUUUAAACCACUCUGUGCAUAGAGGUACAGCAUUUUAUCCCCACUUAGAGGACAAUGAUAAUUUGGUAAUUUCUGACUUGAGCCAAGGAAUUCACCAGGUAAACAUAGAUCAUAAUGUUGAUAAAGCCAAUGGUCACAAAAUGGUGGCACCGAAUGGGUAUGUUUACAGUGGAUGAACACAUCUCUGAGACUCCCAGUAGCAAAAGGAAACAAAUGCCUUUGUUGGGCCAGAAGGAAAUGAUUUUGUAAUUUCCUGUAAUUAUUGCCCUAGUGUAGACUUGAGUAGGCCUCUUUCUUCCCAUCCAAGUGGACUCUUCUUUCAGCCCUUACAUUCUCCAGCCCUCAUCACCAGAUUCAAUUUUAUUCCAUUUUUUACUGAGGUUAUGCUAAGUAUGGUAUUCAUACCUGAGGCUACAAGGAUAAUGAUGAUACUAAUAAAUGUCAUCUUAUCAUAUUCAUUUUACAAA